rnacentral:rRNA from 1 species
UACAGAGGUCUCAAGCGUUGUUCGGAUUCAUUGGGCGUAAAGGGUGCGUAGGCGGCGCGGUAAGUCGGGUGUGAAACCUCGGAGCUUAACUCCGAAACUGCAUUCGAUACUGCCGUGCUUGAGGACUGGAGAGGAGACUGGAAUUUACGGUGUAGCGGUGAAAUGCGUAGAUAUCGUAAGGAAGACCAGUGGCGAGGGCGGGUCUCUGGACAGUUCCUGACGCUGAGGCACGAAGGUCAGGGGAGCAAACGGG